rnacentral:lncRNA from 1 species
UUCAUAGUAUCUAUACCUUCAGUUUCAAAUGUGAACAAAAGAGAAACUUAGAAGCGAAAUUUAAGAGUUCCUUUGGAUGGAUUACCAAAUAAAGCCCUAGUUCUUUCAAACCAAAUUAACUCGAAACAUAGCAAACCAUUUCUUAUUUUCUGUUCUGCCAGUAAUCAGUAUCCAGAUUUCUCGUAUAGUGAUCAUUAGCAGAUGUAGAAGAAGCAGCUCCAGUCCUUGGCCCAUCAGUGAGCGUGCUUUUGGUGAUAUUCUCAUCAACUGCCUGAUCUUCGUCACCUUUGAAAUGCUUCCUCAUGGCCUCAAUUGUCUCCUCCGUUAUGAUAGCACCCUCAGAGUCCAGCACUGGAACAGCAGCCUUGCCUUCAAGCAUGCUAACCACAGAUGACAUCGGUGGCCUGAGUGCUGCAGUCGCAUUAGUACACAGCAGAGCUACCUUUAUCAUCGCCAGCACCUCCUUUUCGUCAAAAUGAGAACCCAGCCUCUGAUCAACUAGAUCCAUCAAAUUUCCUCUCUCCUUCAAAACUCGUGCCUAGAAACAGAAAUGGAAAGGAAGAUAUUUCCCUCAAGCUACAGGUACUGAUCAGUUGUAGAAUAUGCUCAGAACACUAAAACAGGAAGAAGGAGAUAUAUUCUGCCCCUCGAUAAUUUCAUGACAAAUGCAGUUGAUAAACACCUGCUAGUUUUUCAUUUUCAUUAUAAGUUAUACUCGGAAGGAAAAAAUCGAACAAGUCAAUUCGGAUGAAACAUGAUUUCUUUUCCAAUUUUAAGUAGAAGUUAGUAAACUUAAACACUUGUUAAUCACUUACUAACAUUCACCGGUCACCAAAAAACUACCACCACUGCUUUAAAAUUACCAACUCGUAUUGAGUUUUACUGGCAGGAAUUAUUUGUCAGUUUGUCAUUACAGGAAACAGGAAUCAUCCAUCACUGGUUUACACCAUUCAUUGCCUUUUACUCUCAAUUCCAGUUUAACAAGAAUUACCUUAUUAUGCAGCUUAGGUGAAAAUCAGAUUUAACAGGGACUAAUAAUGAUUGUUCUAGCUAAUGAUUGGCUUACUCAAAGCACAAUAAAAUCUAAUUUUUGGACUCAAUUACAUGGAUGUGAAAAAGUCAAAUCUAAAUCGAAAGUAUAUCAAUAUUUGCAUCAAGCAUGGUCUUGAAAUCUUUUUAAAUCCAAAUACUAAUUGUCAAACUGCAAAGUACUCGACCAACUUGUUUGGCGCUAAUGAAACUACAGGGAGUAUGAAUGCCAAGGAUAAAACUAUAAACACUAAAACCAAAUCAACCCAAAUUUUAAGGACUCCAAAUUUCAAUGAAUAGAAUUUUCUUCAAUCCAAAAAAGAAUCUACAUGAUUCCUUCUUUCAGAAGGCAGCCCAUCAUUUUGAGUUUCAACGUGUCACUAGGUAAAUUCCAGUUUCAGUUUCUUAGAACCAGACUAAUCCGUGACCACCCCCACCCCAAGUUGCUCAUCUUGACCACGAACACAUAGGCCGGCUACUGCAAGGAUUACUUGCUCCUUUCAAAGUCAGUAUAGACUAACAUAACAAGAAUAAUUGGAUUAAUUUUAAAUGACAAAUUGCACUUAAUGAAACGGCAUGACAAUUCGUUAAACAGGUUUCAAUAGCUGGUAACUGUAACUCUCCUCUGCAACCAUUAAAAGUGCAUAUGAGGAGUCCUAUACUAUGUUUACACUUAAUCCAUCUCUCAACCAGUACAAGCAGAGAUUUAAAUAUCAUAAUAAGAAACUUUGAACGCUAGAGUUAAUUACCCAAUCAAGUAGAUAAAAGCAUUUCUCCUUCUUUUGGUAACUGGUGUUGCUCCGGCCACUAACAACUUCUAAGGCAACAAUGCCAAAACUAUAGACGUCGGCUUUUUCAGUGAGGUAACCAUGCAUUGCAUACUCUGGUGCCAUAUAUCCACUGCAUAACAAGAAAAGAGCUGGUGUUUUCAACAUGGCAAAUGUCUUAAAUAGCACUUACUUAAUAUUUUCUUACAAAGAUUGUCCCUCCUAUCUUCCUAAAAUACAAAAGGAGAUAUUCCUAAUCAUGACACCAUGGUCUCAAGAGUCAAGGAAAAAACAAGUGCAUUCUAGAAAUUUUUUUAAUAGGAUUCCACUAAGAAUAUUUCAAAAAAAGAAAAAGAAAAAAAAGACAUUGUGGUUUUUAUAUAACUUUCAGGGUACAUAUAGCUUCGUAGUUGGGAACCAAGUACAUCCUUAUAACUUGGAAAGGAGGCUUAUUAACUGAAAAAAGAGUUGGAAACAGGCUGAGACAAGGUCUGAAUACAUAGGCAGCAGCAGUAGGAUUCCUAAAGCCAAGCCCAUGGGCAAGAGAACUUCUUAAUAUUGUUGUUGUCAAUAUUGCUGUAGCAAUAGAAAAACAGCCUUACAUUUUCUCACUAGCUUUCUAACCUUUGCGAUUCAUGUGCUUGCUUUGUAAUUUUGGUUUUAUUCUUUUGUAAUUCACUUGCACCAUCUAUGUUUAUGUCAUGGAAAAUAUAUUUACGAAAAAUUGCACUUUUCAUGCAGAGGAAUAUAUAUAUAAUUUACAUUGAAAUCCUUAACGUAUAGUAUUUGUUCUUGUUCAUUAGAUUGUUUUACAUCAAGUAUAUUGUCAUUGGAAAAACAUAAUAGAAACAAUUAAAUUACAUGUCAGUAUAGGUUGUUAAAAAGUAUUGCGUCAUAAUUGUAUUGUAAUAUUUUUAUAUGCUUUCUGCGUGAGAGAAUAUAUGAGGUAGGGCAUACUAUUACCUUCUGAAAUGUUUUUCUUGACUACUCUUAAUGUAUUAAAUGAAGCGUGUAGAAUAUGAUCAAUCUUUUGAUUAAUAUCUCAGGUAGGCAGAUAAAAUUUUUCCAGAAACUGUAUUAGAUCAUCUUAAGUUUGUUAAGAUAAUGGAAUUGUUUAAUGUUACAGUUAUUUUUCGUUAAGCAAUUACUGUUAGAGUUAGUAGAAGGAACUUACAGUUCUAUUUUUUCCCUAAUGAAUCACAUUCUUUUCAUCAACAGGUUGACUUUCUACACAUGUCAAUGCAAACGUUUGAAUCAUUUGAACAUGCUUAUUAUAUAUUUUUCUGAGUGUAUAUGACUUCUAUAUGCAAAAAAAAUAAUUUCCUUAUACAAUAAGCAACAGAAACAUAGGCUAAGCUCUAUUGCCUAUAAUAUCAACUUAUAGCCAAAUUAACAAUUACAUAAGUCAAUAGUAAUGGUAGAGUAUGUAAUAUAGUUAACAUUUUUUUCCUAGUUAACAUGAAGAGCAGUGGGAGAGGCGUGGAGCUUUGCAGUAAAGCCCCAUUUGUUGAGCACGAUGCUUUGGGAUGAUGUGAGUCAACCACACAGCUCCAUUCAACUCACUUCUCUUAAAUUAGAUGAGAUUUUUCUACUCCAUUCUUAUAUGUUGUCAUUGACUCGUAAUUAGCUUAACAGGAACAUAAAAAAAGAAACUUACUAGGUUCCAGCAAUCUUGGUGCUAAUAUGUGUGUUGUCCUCCUCAUCAAGCUUUGCUAAACCAAAAUCUGAUAUUUUAGAGUUGAGAUCCUUAUCCAGUAAAACAUUAGUAGCUUUAAUGUCUCUGUGCACAAUCUUUAGCCUUGACUCUUCAUGAAGAUAUGCCAACCCCCUGGCAAUACCCACACAUAUCUUGUGUCUUGUCCACCAAUCCAACUUUAACUGAAAUUCUUCAGGACCUUCAAUUGUAUGAGAAGACAUCAAAACUGCUUUACUGCCAUGUCAUUAAUUGAAGUCAGUGAAGCACAAUGUGAUAUCAAAUUACCAAAUAAAGCGCGAGCAAGACUGUUAUUUUCCAUGUAUUCGUAAACCAGCAAAAGUUGAUUUCCUUCAAUGCAGCAUCCAUAGAGUUUCACAAGAUGUGGAUGUUGAAGAGCAGAAAUCAUCCCAAGCUCAGUCACGAACUCACGAUUUCCUUGCUUUGAUUUGGAUGAAAGCUGCUUCACCGCUAUAGCGGUGCCGUCUAACAGAAGACCCUGCAAUUGAACUUUGGCAUAAGAUUUAUGCUGUGAAGAUUUAGAUACAUUGAAUGCUGCUUUCUACAAUUCUUUUCUGUUGGGAAUUGGGGGGAGUUAGUUCACCGAUUUUCUAGCAUACCUUGUAUACAGAACCAAAACCACCUUCUCCAAUUUUAUUGGCAGCAUCAAAAUUGUUUGUGGCAGCUUUAAUCUGUCGCAAGGUAAAUGAACCAAUUUGCAAUGCUAGAACCUUCAAAUCUGCACAGCAUUUUGGAACUUCUAAGAAUUUGGAGGAGUCAACGGCUAAAGUAUGUAAUCUACUAUUCAACGAAGACAUAGCAAUUCCUUCUCAAUGUACCAGAAAACCUAAUUAUAACUAUUUGGUCUAAGCAAGUUCAGGAUGGUAUAUCUUAGCAUCUUGAAAUUUAUUUUCUAGGAAACUCUGGCUUCGAUUGGCAGUUUGUUCUUUGAAAAAUGAAAUGAGAAUGUUCUUAAGGUAUUUAGUAGUAGGGGAAACCAAAAAUCAUAGAAAAAACCCACUUUGGAAAUGCAAGGCAAGGCUUGUAUGUUUCGAUAUCUCGUAUAUUCGAAGUUCCAGUAUUUGUUUUUUAUGUCUUGAAACAUAGACUUAGUUUAUAUAUGGUUGAUUGUGCCCCCAGGGAGACCCAAUACACACAGAGACACAUCUAAGAAACAAUCUAUCUUCCUCUUCCUAUAAAUAUCUAUCCCUUCAUUUUUAGGAUUUCUGAAUAAAAAUUUAGUUCGUUGAGUGUAACAAAUGGAUUGAUGACACUUUAGCUGUACCAUGGCUUAACAAUUUAUUUUCUUUUUGUGUCAAAUCGAAUUUCCAAUGUAAUGCACAAAUGCCAUGCAUCAAAAUUUUUACAGGAGAACUGUGCAACCUAGUUGCGGUAAUAACGAUGCAUUGCGAUUACCCCUUCCCCCACCAGAAAAGAUAAGAAGAAGAAGAAGAAGAGUCACGCACCAACAGUUUGACUGGACAACUGUGUGAAAUAUAAAUGAUGAAAUGUGAUUACCCCCCCCCCCCCCCCCCCCCAAAAAAAAAAAAAGAAUUAGGGAAGGGGAAAUGUAUUGAGAAUGCAUAACAUUCUAUUUCUCGAUAGAUAUAUGCAAACAAAAUGACAAAGAUUCCGGGUAAGCAACUACCUUGUGCCAUUUCAUCUUCACGUCCAAGACAUCCUCUCCUUUCAUCUUCACGUCCAAGACAUCCUCUCCACCAAAGGAUAACCAGGAUAAGAAAAACUACCAAAACUAUAGCAGCCACAAUCCCAACCACUGUACCAGCAGAUAUUAUGGCCGACUUUUGUGGUAUUUCAAAGUCUGCAGUGAAGAAAGAACAACAUAUGUUUACCCAAAACUGUUCAAGUAAAUGGGGUAGGCAUACAUGCUGAAAAAUAUCGGUAGCUUCUUGGUGAACACAGAAACCAACAGAUGGGACAGCACACAAAUUGAGAAUGAGAUGCUCAGAACACUCCACAGAAACUAUCAGAUUAGCAAGCACAGUAGAAUAUCAUGUUCAGAACAUGUAAUACUAAAUACAAAGAAAAAAGAAGAAGAAAUAUGUUCUUCAUUCUCAAGGCUGUACUAUAUAACACAGGCUGCCCAGAUAGAAAGAAAACAAAGCAAACCAUGGCCAAAUUUUGCCUCUUUAGAGACAAAAAAUAUAUCCUAGUCAGCUCCUAUGGAAAUUUAUCCGAUCAACUGGAACAGAUGCCAAUGGCCUGAAUUUAAUAUUGGACCUUUGCGACCAAACCAAGUAACUGAAUAGCGUAUCGAUGACUUCUGGUGCAAGACCAAAAAGGAUACUUUUUUCCAAUAUGAAUACGAGUAACUUUCUCAAUAGAAAAGCACCAAAUGAAACAUGGAAGCGCCUAUCUGCAUACCAGGAUAGACAGAGAAAGCAGAUAUAAGAGGACCAUAGAUUCCUCUUUUAGGUAUAGCAUUGGUCCCUUUUCCAGCCCAAUAUAAGCGUAUCUCCAGAGUGCCGUUGGUCACAUUGGCAGUAAAAUUUCUUAUGACCGGUUUUCCAACUCCACCUGCUUCAAUCUCAAUGUUGAAAUCUUCCCACACUAAUAUCCCCUGAAAGAAUGUUUAAUCUGAUUCAAGUUAAGUGUCUCCACACUGAACAUGGUGAAACUAUCAGUCUCAAUAGAAUGUAGAGAUUGUGAUCAGAUCAUGAUUUGCAAAUACAAGAUAUCUAGAGAAAACAACCCAACCAUAACAUAUUGAACGAUCUAUAUGCUUUGCAUAUUAGAACCAGUGCUACAUGACACCCAAAAUUUACCUGCACAUAAAUAUUAAAAGCUCGCCUUCCAAGGCUUGUAUAACUUUUGUUGCUUGUGAACAUAUCUCCGCAAAAUGAGCUACGUGUACGUCCCAUUCCCCAGACAAACCCAUAAUAAGUCAGAGAGAUAGCAGAACGUCGUGCUUUCACGUAAAGCCAGGCAUCAUCCAUGGACAGUACGGAUACAUUGUCAGCUAUGUAAGGAUCUUUCUGAACACCAUUAUCAAGGAAGUGACCAGUGCUACUGUAGCCCCAGUAAUUUUCACUCUGGAAGAAACUUGAAGAAGCAGUAGACAAUGCUGUAUCUUGGUUGUAUGUAUUCUCCCCCAUUUUUACUGUGCUCCCACCGCAGUUUAUGAAGAGUUUAUACCGCUCUGGAUAAAGUAAAGAAAUAGCCACAGAGAAAAAUCAGGCUUUCUUCUUCUUCUUCUUCUUCUUCUUCUUUUUUCCUUAAUAUGGAGAGGACUUUCCAGACACUAAUUAAACUAGCAUUCAUUUAUUGGAAAAUCACAUAAGCUCCCAAGUUUAUGAGCAACACAUCAUUUCAUGGGGGUGGUUUUUGAAUUUCUAGAGUAAUUAUGCAUUAACAAUAAAAAAUUGACACAAUAGCCAAGAGGAGAGUUGACAAAGGUAUACACAGAGAGUGUGAUGCAAUAUUAGGAUCUGGUUAUAAUGGCAGGAUAUACAGCAGAUCAACUUACUUUCUGGACAAUGCUGACUUUUCAAACAUGAGACAAGCCCACUUGUGGCAGGAUAUGGCAUUCUGAAAAAGUCAAUAAAGAUUUUAAGGUUACAAUCAUCAUCAUUUUGAAUGAAGUUCAAUGCUACGUGGAUAAACAAUUAAAAAGCAGGUCCUUGGAAAUCCAAGUCUCUUGGUAACAUACGCAUUGUCAACUGCCGAGCUUGCGAACAAGUUGCUGCAGAGAAAAGACAAAAUCGACAUUCAGUAGAGAAAUGGAAAUCUUUAACCCACAACCGCAUAUUUGAGGGGAGCCCUGAACUUAGACCGAAGAAAGUAGUACAUACACAGCAGAUCGUACUUGACACUCUAAGCUUCCAGCAGGGAACUUGUUGUAUGAUAGGUCACUACACAGAGAAAUAGUCAACCGUCUCCAAAAUAUCAGCAUUUUGAAGAGUACACUCAAAGUCAUUCCAUCAAAUCAUUAUUGUGUACAAAAAUGCAGAUCAGUUGCAAAAUAUGGACAGGUACAGCAAGUUGAAAGGCAAAAACAUCACAAGAUGAUGAAAGUAAUAUUUUAUCUUUAUUCAAGAUAUCUUAUCUUAAUUAAUUAGAAGGAGAAAGACUAACCGGAGUCAAUGGAAACUUUAGAACUAGUUAGAGUGCAUAAGUACAUUUUUACCCAGCAACAGUAUAACAGACAUGAUGUAUAAGGCAAAGAGGCAAAAAUAGAACUUGAUCCAAACUACUAUUAAGUCAGAUCGUGUUAUUAGAAAAUUUCCAGACCACCAUUAAAAUGUUUAAACUACCUCACAAGAGCUUCAUUCUUACACCCAUAAGAUAAUAUCAACUUUCUCCAAGGUACACUCAUGUUGACUGUAGAGAUUUUCAAAUGCACAAGCCCAUAAAUAUUAUUAUCAGCAAGAAAUAGCCCAAGCAACUAAUCAUAUUCUGCAGGAGAUGCGUUAGACAAGCUUUCAAAGAGGAUUUAUACAAAGUAAAAAUUUUCCAUGUUAUUUUUAUCAUUUCAAGAGGUCUGAAAAAGAUCUAGAGCUGAGAAGGCCUUUUUGUAAAGCAGAAAGUGGGGCUAACUUGGCACUUCCAAGACAAUCCACUUUAUAUUCUUUCAUGCAUACCAUACAUUUCAGCCUCUCAUCUUACAUAUAACUUUCCAAUUAACAGAUCCCAACAAGCAGAAAUGUACUUAUUAACUCCAUAGGCUACAAAUCAAAAAGAUGCAUGAUGUGACUGCAUAGUUGCUUACUACUGUGCAGGAUUAGCCAGAUAGAGCUAGAAGCAAAAAUUUGUGAUUAAACAAGACAUGUUCUUCAGGCAGAGAAGCUUACACAUUAUCUGCUUUAUCCAGGAUCCAACCAGGGACUGCUCCAGUCAAUUGGUUUCCAGUCAGAUAGCUAAAGAAGAUUAUUUGAUUGAGUCAGUUCCUCAUGUACUUCAUGCACUCAAAUUGAAAGAUUUUAGAGUCACCCCUUGAAAAUGCAUUAUUUAGCAGAUUAAAAGCAUUUAAUUGUUAGGUGUAGAAAAAAAUAAGUUGACUCAUGAUAUCAAGAUAGAGCUUUCAGCUGAAGAUGAAAGAUAAAGGAAAUCAAUAACAGAGGAAAAUUUGAUCCUUGCAAAACUUGGAGAGCAUGGGUUGCCAUAACACUAGUACAGAAACCUGAACUUAAGGAAGGACACUAUCAUACUAGCUUAUUAACUAUUUCCUCGCCAUGCUGUUCUUGUCCUUCUAAGACAUAAAACAAAUAAUGAGGGAAGAUGUGCCAAUGUCAAACAGUCAAUUGUUGAGCAAAAAGAUGAAAAGACGCGCCAUUGUUAAACGGUCCAAGAAGCUUAGGACUACAGUUUCUGAUCAUUUCAAGACAAGGGACAGACCUUCUAGAUAGCAUGUAAGAACUGCACUCACCAAACAAUCUAUGGCCAUUGUUGUGGAAAGAACCAAAUAGAGAGCCCAAGGACUUUUGCUAUCCUUAAUCUCCUAUACAUCAUAAAACUGGUGCACAGGACAUGCAUUAAGUACAUACACAUACAACUGUCAAAUAUUUAAGUAACACCGAUCCAUUCAUCUCUUCCCGCAUAAACAGGUAACUCUAUUGAAACUAGUGAAUCGUGCUCUUUAAGCAACAGAAUAUCAUCGAUCUACAUCUGCUCCAAGACUAGAGUCCCAUCAAAAUAAUUAGUUGACAACAAACAUAAAUUUAUAACCCUAAUCAUUGUAAAAUUUGAAUCGUGAAAUAAUAAGCAUUCAAGACACGAGGACUUUAAGGGAUAUAAAGUAGAUGUGUUAUCGCGGUCUAAGUUCUAUUGAUAGCUCAACUACUUUACAGUAAGAGUUGCCUAUAGCUUGGCCACUGGAACAACUUGCAAAUUUAGAUUCUUAUCUAAUAUAUGAAAAAGAAGCCUAAGUCCAGCAUCAAAGUACUUACAUAUAUUCUACUUUUUCCAGGCUGUUGUCAGGGAUUAUGCCACUCAGUUUGUUGAAGCUGAGGUCCCUGCAAAACAAUUGAAUGGAAAGGAGACAAAAAUGAUGAGAAGAUAGUUUUAAAAGACUACCACUGGAAACUCUUUGAGUAUACUUUGGAGGAUUGUACAAACAUAGACAAAAUCCAUGAACCUACAGGUCCAGUUCAGAUGUUUAGACAUACAGGUCAACUACCUGGUGCCUAUGCUUUCUACUAGACAUUCCUUUCCAGAGGCAUUCAUUGCAUAAAAUCCAUGUGCAUCAAGUUGGUCACAUGCUAUACAUAUACUAAAAUUCUGCCAUAAAUCAAAUUUCCAACUUGCAAAUUUCAAUUUAUAUAACUAGAAAUGCUACUCUGGCAACAAAUUAUAUGCAUCCCAUGGAAUGCAACAUAUUAUAGUUCAAAUUAGGAGACUCCAUUUAUCAAAUAGGACCAAAACUAAAGCUAAUCAUAAUUUAUUGAACAGAUCUCCUUCAUAACAUUUUAUUCGUGAAUAAAGGGAUGAUGACUAAAUACUAGGAUGCUAAAAGAGUAGAAUAUCAGCUUGAGUGAAUAAUAAAAAAAAAAAUAUUGAAAAAAAAAUAGUAAAAUAAAAAAUAAAAUGAGGAUUUCAAAAAACAGGAAAGCAUGAUUCUGCAGUCCAAUAUAAUUAUUGAUGGAGAAAUUACAAACUAGUCAAAUCUAAUGAAAAGGAAAUGGAGUAUACGAUGAACCACACAGAACUGCAGAAAUUCGGUUAUUGAAAAUGUCAACAAAGAAUAAGCAUUGAUGGCUGAUGACGACAGAAUGGCAAAAAACUGCUGUUAAAUGUAGCAUUUAUAAAAUCUUACAGAGAUGACCAGAUGAAUAAGAAGAAUUGAUUUGUGUAAAGAUGCAUUUGAAGCCAUGAUCAUGUUCAAACAAAGAAUAUAAUGGCUAACAAAUAUACGACAGUCUAGCAUAAAACUCCAGUUAGAUAUUGUGGGGUUGAGAUUCGAGAAUGUAAACCACUAGAAGGAAGAUUUCCAGAUGAUCAACCACUAGAAGCCUCCAUUCAAGUUAGUAAAAUAGACAAAAUGGGCACCACGACCAAGGUAAGAAUUCUUGUGGUUUCUAUUCCUGGCAAAGUGAGAACAAAGAAAGAAAAGAUCAAAACACCAUUAAAUUCUUCUGCACGAAACUGUAUAUUCUAAGCCAGAGGCCACAAUCACCAGGCACUUAAAUGCCACAUCACGAUUCAUAAUUCAUCAAUAUCGACAGAAAAGAUCAAAACACCAUUAAAGUCAAUAAGGGACCUUCAAGCCAUCUCAAAUGGGUUACUUAAGUGCAGCCAAUAGUCAACCAUAAACUAGUAGAAAUUUCAGUCAUUAAGGGUAAAAUUACAUAUUCUGCUUGGACUAGGAAAAGGGGAAAGCCAUUUUCCACUCACAAUGUUUGUAAGUUCGUCAAUUCCGCUGGAUAACCAGGUAGCUCUCCUGUGAGAUUGCAGCUCCUCAGAAUCCUAUAAGAAAAAAGCACUGAUGUUGUCACAUUGCUAAGACAAUUUGGCUCUUUUGCAUGAAGUAAACUAUCUUUGUAGGAGCAUCGGUCUCACAGUGUCUUAAUACUUGUACUGCUAAGUUGUGGAACUCGGGACUCGGGUCCAUUGAGGUCACUUAUUCUCCUGCAUAUCAAAAUCAAAUAGGGAACUUUAUUCGAUUGAUACCAUAUUAAAGAAAGGAGAGAUCAGAUCGAAAUGCCAAACUUCCAUACUAACAAUUCAGACAAAUUCUUCAAAAGUGAGAUCCCAGAGGGAAUUGGCCCUUGCAAUCCAUUUGCUUGAAUAAACCUGUUGAUACAAUUCAUAGAUUGAAUUAGCUUGGGGGUAUAUCUAUAGAGACCGAGUUGAAUGGUGAAGAAGCAUUAAGCCUUACAGUGUUUCAAGAUUUGUCAAGUUCUGAAUAAAAUCGGGUAUCUUUCCCGUGAACUGAUUAUCACCAAGUCGCCUACAGUGCAUAAAACAACAAGAUUGAUGUGAGGAAGAAAGAAUAGAAAUGUGUAAAUAUUAGCAGAGUUUGUGGAAAAUAGAAACUAACAGGUCCUGUAAUGCCGUCAAUUCAACAAAUCUCCGAGGCAGCUCCCCGGUGAAAUUAUUAGACGUAAGGCACCUGACACAAGAAAACCCAAUGGUAUCACAUUGGUCAAAUGAACUUGAAUGAUGAUAUCUUAACAGAUCACUCCAAUUGAUAAAUUCCCGUCGCCAGACACAAAAUCAUCAGCGAAUAAAUAACUCGAUGAAUGAUACAGAAAUUUGCAUGUAGAGACUCACAAUCGAAGUAACCGGGACAAGUUCCCGAGCUCUGGAGGCAGAGGUCCAGAGAGCUGAUUGAUGUCGACGACUCUGAGCAGAAUGAGAAAGUUAAAAUCUUGAAACUAUCAAUCAAAUUUAAAACAGCGAAGAGGCCAAACGCGAGCGUCGGGAUGAGGGGUCACUUACAAUGAUUCUAGUGUGGAUAUGUUUCCCAGCUCCUUCGGGAUUGGACCAGUCAAUCGGUUUCCGAGUACAGAACUGCACUCCGCGUUUCCCCCAAUCAGUAGAAGAUACACGAGAGAGAGAGAGAGAGAGAGAGAGAGAGAGAAGCACAUACAUGUUGAGCAACUUCGUAGAGCCCCAUUCUUUAGGAAUCGUGCCGCUCAGGUAGUUCCGGGUGACGUCACUGUUUACAGAGACAGACGGCGGCGACGAAGACAACGAUGAAGAAGAAGAAGAAGAAGAAGAAGAAGAUCGAAAAUGGAGGGAGAGUGCUUACAAGUUCUCGAGAAAAGGCAAUCUGUACAGUCGAGUCGGAAGAGCGCCGUUUAGAGACUGCUUCUUCAGAACUCUGUUUUCACAAUGACACGAAGGCUUUAUUCCAUUGCGAUUUGUUCUCAAUAUAAAAACAAUUAUGUUAUUCUAUUAUUAAUAGUAAUUGAUGGAAUAAAUAAUAGCAUGAUUGAAAUGAUAAUUAUAUAGAAAUUUGAGCAUUUAUUCAUUUAAUUAGCAAUAAACAUCAUUGUAUAGGGAAUAAUACAAAAUCAAAUUACGACAAUUUGGAUAAUCGUACUUAAUGAUAAGCAACUGUUAUUACUGUAUUAACAAUUUUAAUACAAUAAAUGAUCAUCUAUUGUCGAGAUGAUAUUUACCUAUUGCAUUUGUAAAUUCCGCUAAUUUAAAAUUGGGAGUGUUAUUGCUUUACCAAAAACUUUAAAUAUCUCCUUCUUGUUUGCUAUUUAGACACCCUAAAUUAAACUAUCCCUAUUAUUUUUUUUUUUGAGGUAAAUCAUUGUCAAAAUUGAAAAUUUGACGAGAAGUUGAUCACAUAACUAUGACGUGAUUGAAAUCACAAGNNNNNNNNNNNNNNNNNNNNNNNNNNNNNNNNNNNNNNNNNNNNNNNNNNNNNNNNNNNNNNNNNNNNNNNNNNNNNNNNNNNNNNNNNNNNNNNNNNNNNNNNNNNNNNNNNNNNNNNNNNNNNNNNNNNNNNNNNNNNNNNNNNNNNUUUCCUGGUAAGUAACUGUUACUAUUGUAUUAAUAAUUUAAAAGCAUAAAUGAUCAUAUAAUGUGAGGAUGAUAUUUGUAAAUACCACCAAUUUAAAUUGAAACCUUGUUGCUCUAUCGAAAUCUUUAAAGAUUUCCUUCUUGUUCAAUGUUCAGAAAAAGCACCUUGAGUCAAAUAAAAACUACCCAUAUUUUGUUCAGAGGUGAAUCAUCAUCAAAAGCGAAAGUUUGACGAGAAGUUGAUCAUAAACCACGACAUGAUAGAAAUUACAAAUGAUGGCAUCUCUUCUGUUCUUUCUCUACCCACUCCAUCUUUAUGGCUUUGAAUUUCAAAACGAAAAUAAUUAUUCGCAAGUGCAGCUUAUUUUCAUGGGUAAGUUUCAAUUGCGAUCCUCGAGUUCAAUGGAUUUUGCAAGCCGAACCGUGAUUUCAAUUCCCUAAUCCAAAGAAUUUCCUUUUUUUUUUUUUUGUACUCAAUUCAUUUUGACCCAAAAAUAUAGGCCGAUCUUUUCUGGUGAACUACUAACAUGGUGCCCAAAGUAUCGGCUCGGGUUUGCCACGUCAGCCAAUUAACCUUACAACAAGAUAAAAAAAGAUUGGUGCAUAAUCAGGUGAUUGAUCUCAAAGUAUAGCUAGGAACCUAUGAUUGUAAAAUUCACGAAAUUGUGAUUUUUUUUCCAAUUUAUUCGGAGAGAGAGAGAGAAAUACAUGCUGGUGACAUGGCAAACGGUGGUGUUGUCAUCGCCGCCGAUGGAAGUGCAGCUGCAGUUGACGUCAUUAGUAGUGUCGUCAGGCAACUUUUUGUCACUCCAUGUACUUGUUUUGUUGCAUGGAUCUGUUUCGAAAUCCCAGUUCCUUUUCCCUAAUGCGUCUGCUAUUUCUCUCAACGCCUCCACUGAAAGAGAAAAGAACCCAACAAGUCAAAAGAGACCGCAGUAUACCAUGCGUAACAAGCACAAAAUGACGUCAGAUUCGCGUGCGCGCUUGAGGUUGAAUGCCUGCACAACAUCUUUCUUUAACUUAAGAAAGAAAGCACAACCAAAUACAAGCUCAGUGAAGGUGAGAGCCAAAAAUAGGAGGAGGAAAAGGAACAGUACGACGAAAGCAAAAGAAGAUUGGUGGGUUUCUUUAUUUUCUUUACCUUCCUCGAUGGGCAAACGAGUGGUGGCAGCAGUUGAGUUAGCGGCGCGUAGAAGGAUGAGCAUAGAGAAGAGAAAUCAAGCCGAGAAGAGAAUCGUCAUCAUUUUGGUCUCGAGCUACCCAAAGAGAGAGAGGGAGAGGGAGAAGGAGAGGGAGAGAGAUAUAUGAUUGUUAGGAGAGUGGUCUAGCCUCAUGCAUUUAUGUAGGAAAAGAGGCAGGGCAGACAAAGACUUUUUGCUCUUGUAUGUCUGCAAUGGAGGAGCACGAGUGAUGUGUGAAAGCAAGAGAGACAACCCAAGUCUUCCCCUUAUAGAUAUUUAUUUGGAAGAAAUGUCAUAAAUGAUCUUGAACUUUAAUUUAAUAUGUAAUGCAGUCUCUUUAUUUUUAAUUUGUGCAAUGUAGUCCCUAAAAUUUAGUCUAGUGUGCAAUGCCGUUUAGUUUAGCCCGUGAACUAUAUGGAGAUGACCCCAAGUCUUCCCCUUAUAGAUAUUUAUCUAGGAAGAAAUAUCAUAAAUGAUUCCUAAAUCUUAACUUAAUACAUAAUGUGGUCUAUUUAUUUUUGAUUUGUUUAACAUAAUCACUAAAAUUUAGUUUAGUAUGCAAUACCGUUCAAUUUAGCCUAUGAACUAUAUGGAAAUGNNNNNNNNNNNNNNNNNNNNNNNNNNNNNNNNNNNNNNNNNNNNNNNNNNNNNNNNNNNNNNNNNNNNNNNNNNNNNNNNNNNNNNNNNNNNNNNNNNNNUCCUUUAAUGUAGGAACAACAUUAAAUAUUUUCAUAUAAUUUAAAGAAUAAAUUAAAUAAGUAAUAAAAAAUUCAAAGAUCACAUUAAACAAACUAUAAGUUCAUAGACUAUAUUGAACAUUAUGGUAAAGUUAAAAAACUACAUUAUACAUUAAGCCAAAGUUCAUGAACUAUUUAUAUCGUUAUUCCUUUAUCUAAAAUGGAGUAGCAAGCUUUUGUCCAACUCUUCUCGCAUAAUAACCUUUUUUAUAACAUCAAUAUACCUAAUAAAAGUCUUUUCUUUCUUUUUAUUUUCCCUCUCCAUUUUGUUCUCCUAACGACACCGGUCUUUUUGACCGUUUUCAUUUUUCUAUGAACACAUCUCAAAUUUGGGUUAGUAGACCCUUCAUCGAUAGUAGAGUCCAAAUUCCACGAUAUUCAGAAAACUUCAUUAAUUGAUUAAGUUGUCCUGUAAAAGGAUAUAUAUAUAUAUAUAUAUAUAUAUAUAUAUAUAUAUAUAUAUAUAUAUUUUUGGACAAUGUCCUGUAAAAGGAUUAGAUUCACCUUUUUGGACAAUUUUCUUUUCCCUUUUUUUUUUGUUAGUUUAGUCAUAACCAAUUAUUAAUUUCUUAAUAAUUCAAAAGCAAUGGCAAUGGAGACCCGAUUAUUUGUAGGCCAGACAUCUCGCAAACCUUGUGAACCGUCAAAUCUAGCAUUUUGAAAUGCACAAAUGGUUUCAAUUCAAAAUAGUGUGCAUGUAAUUGGCAAGAUUGAAUACCUCGGAUAUGAAUGAUGGAUAGAUUAUCUUGACAGUAUGAUAGUAUCUCCGGAUCUUCAAACAAUAAUCGAGUUGUACGGUUGUAGGAUAAGAAAGACAGUUUGUCCCUUACCGUGCCCAUGGUUGCUUGUACUCCGGCAUAUCAUAAGUCUCCAUGGAUGUUGACAAGAGUUUCACUUCCACCCACUCACACUCGAAAUAGAUUAAUCCGAGUUGACAACGCAACUCUCUUUCUUGAGGUGCUCAUGAAAGAAUUACUAGAAAAAUUUUGAGUUAAGACAACGAAAAAUCUCAAAUUGAUGUCCUAAAUUAAUUUUUUUAUCACAAAAAAUCUGAAUUGGUAUAUCUAUGGAGUUUUAUCAUCUGUUUUUCAUGGAUAUACGGAUUUGUGACUUUUUAUGGUAUUAAUUCAAUUUAACGAAAAUUAACAGAGUAUAAAUUUAUCACAAAUGUAUCAAUGUGAAAUUUUUUAUGAUUAAAAAAUUAGUUUAGAAUAAAUUUAUCAUAACUAUAUCAAUUUGAGAUUUUUAUAAUACUAAUCCAAAAAAUAUUUAUGCAGAUCACAAAUGUGUGGAGAUGCAUGUGUCCACGCACAACUUUAAUUAAUUUUUGACCUUUCCCACCAAAUUCAAACUAAAACUCACUCAUUGAAAAAUCAUAGAAAGAUCAUAUGAGAACUGUCGUGGCAAAUGAAAAGUUUCAAGUGCUUAUAAUUUCUUUUUUCAAAAAGAGCCAAAUCAUCCGGAAGCCAUCGCUAAAGAUUUGAAAAAACCUUAAUACUUUGUGCAUGGUCAUGGUAGAAUAAGGCUGAGAUUUUCCAAUCAGAGUACGAGUCCGUCGAUCAAGACUCGGUCGAAUUUGACGGCAGAGGCCACUAAUCUUUGAUUUGGCCUAACAUGGCCCUCUUUUGUCUCCGUUCCACGUUAGAAGUUUAGCCACGACCCGCAGAAAAACCACAACACGUGAUAUAAAAUUUAGACUUCUAAGUUAUGUUUCUUUCACAAAGAAUAAAUAUUUUGAAAAAUUAUUUUUCUAAAAGUAAUCGCCUAUAUCACUUGAAAUAAUUAGUUAAUGAAAAAAAUUCUUUAUUAACAAUAAUUUAUAUGUAAACAUGUUUAUGAACAAUGAAAAUAUUUUUUGUGCAUACAAUUUUGUAAGUUAUAGCCUUAAGCAAGACGUCAUCUUGUAUGCAUGUCUAGUCAGAUUAACAUCAAGUCAUUGAGGGUUGUUUUAAUAUUGUCAACCAACGCAAUUAUAUUCAAAACAGUUUAGGAGAGCCUUGAAAAUUCCAUGUUUCAAAAAUUUGAAGAAUUCUAAGUAUGUAAGGCACGUUCGUUUUGACAGAUAAAAGUGAUUCAGAAAAUAUUUUCUGAAAAAUGAUUGGUUAUAUCGUUUGCAAAAAUUAGUUAACAACAAAUAUUUUCAUAAUUGAUAACAAUAUAUGCCUAAUUAUUUUCGUAGGCAAUGAAAAAAGUUUCCAUUCAUUUAUUUUUCUAAAUGAUAUAAGUGAUCAUUUUAAAAAAAUGUUUUCCAAAUCACUCAUUUUUCACGAAACAAAUAUAUCCAUAACAUCGUGUAGAUGGGGACAAUUUUCGAGCCUAUUUGGGACGUGUGUAUGGGACGUUCAGAUGAACACGUGAAUUUAUUGUGUUAUUACAAUGAAGUGGAUCGACCAAUGUGUCUAUUUGAUUAAUAUAUCUUGAGCAAAAGGUCUAAUACUCUCACAAUGUAACCCUCAUUCCUCUGCAUGACAUUUGUUGUGAAAACCGCACACGAACCCCAUUAAAAACCUAUGACAUAUAUUUUCGAGUAGCAUCCAUGAAUAAAAGAUAUGAAGAGAUUGCUAAACUGAGAGAAGGAUUACCUUUCAAUAGGAUCUAGGUAUGUAAAUUGCACCGGUCCGUCAAGCUUGCUUCAUCUCCUAGGUGAAUGAUCAAGUGACCAUAAUGGUAAAGAUUACGGGAGGGAUUUUUUUUUUUUCUUUUAAAUAUUUCAUCUACUAAGCGACGGCGACGGCGACGGCGAUGAAGAAGAAGAAGAUCGAAAAUGGAGAAGGGGAAGAUGAAGAGAGAGGGGCUUACAAGUUCUGGAGUCGGAAGAGUGCCGGAAAGAGACCGCUCCUUGAGAACUUUGUUUUCACAAUGAUACAAAAGGCUUUAUUCUAUUGUUAUUUGUAUUUUUUUUUUUGGUAAGAAUAAGCAAUUGUUAUUUGUAUUUUAUAAAAAAAAAUGUUAUUCUAUUAUUAAUAGUAAUAGAUGAAAUAAAUAAUAGCAUGAUAAAUGAUAAUUAUAUAACAAUUCGAGCAUUAAUUCAUUUAAUCAGCAAUAAACAUCAUUAUACGAUGAAUAAUGUGAAAUCAAAUUAUGACAAUUUAGGUAAUCGUACGUCGUAUUCUUCAUAGUAUCUAUACCUUCAGUUUCAAAUGUGAACAAAAGAGAAACUUAGAAGCGAAAUUUAAGAGUUCCUUUGGAUGGAUUACCAAAUAAAGCCCUAGUUCUUUCAAACCAAAUUAACUCAAAACAUAGCAAACCAUUUCUUAUUUUCUGUUCUGCCAGUAAUCAGUAUCCGGAUUUAUCGGAUAGAGAUCAUUAGCAGAUGUAGAAGAAGCAGUUCCAGUCCACGGCCCAUCAGUGAGCGUGCUUUUGGUGAUAUUCUCAUCAACUGCC